AGCUGAAGAGGCUAAAUUUGCAUCUUUGAUCCGUAGGAUAGAGGCUCUAGAACUCAAGGAACACACCCAAGUGAAUCAAGUUGCAACAACAACUUGCAAUGGGUGUAAUGCCAUAGACCACACGAUGGAAGGAUGUCCUUUCUUGAUGGAUCCAGUCGAGAACGAAGUAGCACAGGUGAACGUAGUCUAUCAAAGACCCAUAAAUGAUCUCUAUGCACUAACAUACAAACCAGGAUGGAGGAACCACCCCAAUUUUUUUUGAUCAUAAGGGUCCAACUCAAUUAAACCUGCUUUCACUCAACCCAACCC
rnacentral:lncRNA from 1 species